GAUGAACUUUGGCGGCGCGCCUAACACAUGCAAGUCGAACGGCACCUAUCUUCGGAUAGAAGCGAGUGGCGAACGGCUGAGUAACACGUGGAGAACCUGCCCCCUCCCCCGGGAUAGCCGCCCGAAAGGACGGGUAAUACCGGAUACCCCGGGGUGCCGCAUGGCGCCCCGGCUAAAGCCCCGACGGGAGGGGAUGGCUCCGCGGCCCAUCAGGUAGACGGCGGGGUGACGGCCCACCGUGCCGACAACGGGUAGCCGGGUUGAGAGACCGACCGGCCAGAUUGGGACUGAGACACGGCCCAGACUCCUACGGGAGGCAGCAGUGGGGAAUCUUGCGCAAUGGGGGGAACCCUGACGCAGCGACGCCGCGUGCGGGACGGAGGCCUUCGGGUCGUAAACCGCUUUCAGCAGGGAAGAGUCAAGACUGUACCUGCAGAAGAAGCCCCGGCUAACUACGUGCCAGCAGCCGCGGUAAUACGUAGGGGGCGAGCGUUAUCCGGAUUCAUUGGGCGUAAAGCGCGCGUAGGCGGCCCGGCAGGCCGGGGGUCGAAGCGGGGGGCUCAACCCCCCGAAGCCCCCGGAACCUCCGCGGCUUGGGUCCGGUAGGGGAGGGUGGAACACCCGGUGUAGCGGUGGAAUGCGCAGAUAUCGGGUGGAACACCGGUGGCGAAGGCGGCCCUCUGGGCCGAGACCGACGCUGAGGCGCGAAAGCUGGGGGAGCGAACAGGAUUAGAUACCCUGGUAGUCCCAGCCGUAAACCCCCUAGGGAGGUGUGGGGGGACGAUCCCCCCGUGCCGCAGCCAACGCAUUAAGCGUCCCGCCUGGGGAGUACGGCCGCAAGGCUAAAACUCAAAGGAAUUGACGGGGGCCCGCACAAGCAGCGGAGCAUGUGGCUUAAUUCGAAGCAACGCGAAGAACCUUACCAGGGCUUGACAUAUGGGUGAAGCGGGGGAGACCCCGUGGCCGAGAGGAGCCCAUACAGGUGGUGCAUGGCUGUCGUCAGCUCGUGUCGUGAGAUGUUGGGUUAAGUCCCGCAACGAGCGCAACCCCCGCCGCGUGUUGCCAUCGGGUGAUGCCGGGAACCCACGCGGGACCGCCGCCGUCAAGGCGGAGGAGGGCGGGGACGACGUCAAGUCAUCAUGCCCCUUAUGCCCUGGGCUGCACACGUGCUACAAUGGCCGGUACAGAGGGAUGCCACCCCGCGAGGGGGAGCGGAUCCCGAAAAGCCGGCCCCAGUUCGGAUUGGGGGCUGCAACCCGCCCCCAUGAAGUCGGAGUUGCUAGUAAUCGCGGAUCAGCAUGCCGCGGUGAAUGCGUUCCCGGGCCUUGCACA
rnacentral:rRNA from 1 species